rnacentral:rRNA from 1 species
UACAAUGGCCGGUACAGAGGGUAGCCAACCCGCAGGGGGGAGCCAAAUCCCCACAAAGCCGGUCGUAGUCCGGAUCGCAGUCUGCAACUCGACUGCGUGAAGUCGGAAUCGCUAGUAAUCGCGGAUCAGCAUGUCGCGGUGAAUACGUUCCCGGGUCUU